ACAUUCUUUCUGGAGGCUCUGGGGUAGAAUGUGUUUUCUUGUCUGUUCCAGUUUCCAGGGGAGGCCUGUACUCCUUGGCUCAUAAUAUCAUCGUAUCUCCUUCAUCCCCUCGUGUCGGUUUGCAAACUGACUCCCAUACAUGGAAGGCAAGGACAGAUGGAAGAAAGAGGCGGACCAGUCCAGAUUGCCAGUUCUCCAUAGCAGCCGAUCGUCCAUGUAAUGACGAAAAGAUCCAGGCUGCUUCAAUCCUGUGGCUCAGCCAUCUCAACCCAUUGCCUCUACUGUAGACGAUGAAAGAGAGAGAGUUGAAAAAAUCAUGCAACUGUUCAUCACCCCCACUCAGAAGAACAUACGUGACUCUUGGCCAUAUGUCUUCCCCCAAUUGUAAGAAGCUGGGAAGAGCACUUUUCAGUGGUCCUCGGAGGAGACUUCAUGCUGAAAAACACUGGUGUUGUGGACUAUAACCCAACAGUAUCUACUUAUCUCUGACCUCAAGGUUCAAGCCCUGCAUCAUGAAGCGCAAACAUACGCAGCCAGGAUGUGGCCAUUCUGCCCACAGCCUUUGUCUGAUUCCUCCUUAUGGGUGUCACAAGAUGUAUCCAUCCCCCCAGCACCUAUUAAUAGUGCAUUGGGUCCCAUCGGGCUCCACCCCAGCACCUAUUAAUAGUGCAUUGGGUCCCAUCGGGCCCUGCCUCUGCUCCUCCAGUUAUGAGUGUCUAAAUCCUGUGACUGCUGUUUCAUUGUCUGAACUUUUGAUUAGACUCUGAGAGUUGCCAAAAAAGUCCUCGACUUCAGGACCAUUUUCC
rnacentral:lncRNA from 1 species